GCGAGCUUGUCCGAUGCGGGGAUGUACUACUGUGCCCUGGCCUCUUGUGGCGAGAUUGUUUUUGGGAAUGGGACGAGGGUGGGGAUCGCAGGCAGUGCCCCCCCUCUCCUGGUGUACUGCCUGAGUGUGGCAUUGGUACUUGCCAUUAUUGUCCUCCUCAUCUUGGCACUCAUCAUGUACAAGCUGAAGAAAAGGUUGUGCUCUGUCUGCAAAGGAUCUGUUUCUCUGACCUCUGACACCCAG